CGACAGGCUGCGGCUAAACACCCUACCCAUCGGUAUCACCCUGCAGGCGAAGUUGAGCAUCCCUAUCAGCAAUUGCAGCCACUGAAGUGUCACCUUGCGCGCCUGCCGCACCGCGCCCACCGUGGACCGCAGUCCCUCCAAUUUGGACAGCGGCAGCCAGCAUUCCACGAGCACCGAAUCUAUUUCCAGCCCCAAAAAGCUGAGGCACCCGGUCGGGCCCUCCGUCUUAUCCGCCGCCAGUGGCAACCCGAAAUGGCCUGCCACCCAUUCAAUGGUCCUCAGCAGGUGCAGGC